UGAACUGUGUGUUAAGCGGCGGCUGCAGUAACUUAUACUUCAACAGACCCCUCCAGGCUGGCUGAGAGACACAGAACUACGAGCAACUCUGAAGAAGCUUCAGGGAAGCAGCCACCAAUCAGCUGUUCCUGCUGUGCAAAUUAUUUGGAAUCUCCUGCCAGUGAUCAUUGCUUGUGGAUAAUGAGGUUGAAGAACUGGAGCGGACAACCAUGGCGAUCUUUAUCACUGGGAAAGAGGAUCCUCUCCAUCCACCUAAAGACAUUAAAAUUGUUGUCGAAGGAAAAGAGGUCCUGAACGAGUUGCCAUCGGUUGCUGGGCUCAUAUAUACACUAAACUUAAAAUAUCCAAAAAGGCUACAGUUCACCUUUGAAUUUGUGCAAAAUGUCCUGAUGGAGCUUGAUGGAAUAAAGAUGACCCCAAAAGUCACUAAACUGACCACCCAGCUGUACAGGGAUUAAUUGUAUAAUUGCAUAAUUGUUACAUUUUAUUGUGUUUUUACAGCCAAGACUUUAGAUCCUUUUAAUAAAAAGGUUGUACUAACAAGGCUGCAUUUUCACUGCAGCAUUUACAAAUGUGGCUGCCCAAGUUCGAUGGCUACCAGGUACAAAGGUUGAAUAAGGCUGUCAAUCUUCAUACAUUUGAAGCAAAUGUUCAAUGUUGUAAGUUUAUUGCACAAUAAAUGUGU